CCCCCCCCCCGGGCUACGACGAUGCGUCUCACCAGGGCCAUGGGCCUGGCCCCCCGCAGGUCGUGGGUGGCUCGCGCGGGCGGUGGGCGCAAAGCCCUGGCCACGCGCUGCCGCCUAACCGCCCCCCGGGCCUGCCCUGGCUGCCCGCUGUUCUCAGUGUCUCCUUCACGUGCUCGGGGGAGAGCCCCCAGCCUGGCCUACAGCCAGUACCUGCCUUCAGCAACGCACUGGGGCUUCGCACCUUCCCACGGCGGAGCCCUCUGCGCCCCCAGGCCCGUGGCCAUUUUCUCCCCACACCCCUCCAAGCCAGGACCCGGCGUUUGCACUGAGGGGCCUGUGCGUGGCCUGGAUUGCAAUAGCUGGCCCUGCACGGAGAAGCCCAGCAAGCGCUAAGGUUGCAGUAAGGUCAGCCGUGGGCAGCACUGAAUUCCUGCUCCCUGGGGGGAAGCUGAACUUGUAUCUCCCUGCUAGGUACCCUACUGCUGUUGUCUUCCUUCAUCUUUGGGCUGGAUUUUCCCCUGCUGGUGCCCUGAAUUCUGGGUGUCUCAUCCUACGAACUUCCAGGAGUGAAACCUGUCGCUGGCAAAGCCUAUGGCUGUGCUCACCACUCGUUUCCAUUUCUCUAGGGCAGGACAACGAGCGUCUCUCUGUUCUUAAGCCACCCCUUCCUUCUGUUACAAGUUUGAUUCCCAAAAGUCUCCUGGCUACCAUUAAUCUUUUCAAACCAACGAUCAGUUCUUAACCAUCUCCUUUUCUCUUACUGUUCACCGCCUCUGAGAGGCAGAAAAACUGGCCACUGUCCCUGGCUACCACCAUCCGGACCUCCUUUCCCCUCUGGCAUUCUUCCACACACACCAGCCCAAUCCUCCUUUUCCCUUCUUAGGUGACCACCAUCAGACUGACCCCCCCAACCCAUAAACCCCAACAUCCAUACCUUCCCAGGAGCCCCUGUCUCCCCCACCCUGGUUCCCACUGUUUACUGCUCCAUAAUAGCAAGCCUUGGGUCUAUCUGUCCUGCUUCCCAAUCCCCUCUUUCCCACUGCUAAGAGAAGCAGGUUUGGGCAUGCUGAGGGUCCACAGUGCAGAGCAGGACCUGGGUGCGGUACUGGUAGCACUCCCAGCCACGUGAUGUGUGUGGUAGUUAGAAGUUUGCAGCACAGCCAGUUGUGCUGCUGCUUGUGAAUAGUUUACAGGUGAGGAGAAAAAAAAACAACUGCAACCAGCAAGGCAGUAGAAAAACCAUCCAAGCCAGUUAGAAACUGGCUAGAUAGCAACGUUAUUGCUAAUAUAACACAUCAUUACUUAUGGAAUAAUAAUUGCCAACACUUCAAAAGAACCUUCUACCUAAAGAACUUGAAGUACACAAACAGUGAGUAAGGCUCACACCGACCCUAUGGGGUAAUUAUACAUCAUUAUCCUAAUUUAUAGAUGGGGAAAUAGAAGCCCAGAGAUUAAGGCUGGGAUUUACAAAGGUACUUAAGUGUUGCAACACCGAAGGUUAUGGUGUCUAGGAAGUCCCAGGAACAACACUGCAGUCCACCAUAAAGACUUAGGUGCCGAAGCUCUCUAUACAAUAAAUAGGGAGAAGUAGGUGCCUAAGGAUGCAAUUCUUAAAAAGCCAGCAUGCUAGAUGGAGAGCUGCUACAUUGGCCAAUGGGAGGUGCUAACCUGAGUGGUGUAGGAGAGAGAUGGCUAAAUCCUGGCUAUAAAGAGGCAUCUCCCUCUAUUUAGCAAUCCACAAACAGGAAACAGCUGCCUGAAAUCAAGCAGGUUAGGCACCUCUUGUGAGAUCUGUCUUUUUUACAUAAAACAGCCAGAAGAGGAGGUGGUAGUGCUCACCUUAUAACUUUUAGCUCAGUGGUUGGAGCAUUCACCUGGGAUGUGGGAAACCCAGUUUCAGGUUCCCCCCUCUGCCACUGGGGGAGAAAGGAUUUGAAUAGGGGUCUCCUACCUCUCAUGGGAGUGCUUUAACCAUUGAGCUCUGGGAUAUUAUGAUGUAGAACUCCCUCAAUCUCUCCUGCUGAAGCUGCUGCAGUGUGGAUUAAAUAAUGAAAGAGUGAUUGGAGCAGGUGGACUGGAUUCAGGGUCUCCCAUCUUCCAGGGGGUGCCCUACCCAUGGAGUCAUUUCCUCUCUCUGGUCUCUGACUAUUCCACUGUUGUAAAUAAUUAAGUCAUGUGGCCCAAGAGGCAGGGGAAUGAAUGACUCUGUAACCCGGUGGGUAGGGCACCUACCUGGGAGUUUAGGUCAUUUAAUCUCUUUCAGAAACUUCUCUUGAAGUUUAAAGCACAGCAAUUAAAAAAAAAAAGAGAGAGAGGGCAAGGUAUUUUGUACUCUUCUACAGCCCCAGAAAGCUGCUUCCCCCUGACCAUUUGUGCCUAAACACCCUUCACCAACACCCCUCCCCCAUCCUUAAAUAAUUUCUCACGCAGGGUAUUUAUUGAAAGAGGAGGCUCUUUUUCUUCCCAUCCUUAAGCAGUAGCAGAUUUCACUAAGUAUUGCCUUCCUCACAUCUCCAUCAAGAGCAGUUGUAGGCCGGCCUAUUCUCUAAUUAGGAGAAAAUACAGAGAUCCCAGGAGUGACCUCUCUAACCUAGAGUACAAACAGUUACAUUGGUAUAAGGACUAAAUCCGUGGAAAAACAAAUUUAGGCCUAGUUUACACUAGAAAAUUAGGUCAGCAUAACUGUGUCGUCACAUGGGUGUGAAAAAUCCAUACCCCUGAGCAGCGUAGUAAACUGACCCACAUCCCAGUGAAAACAGCACUAGGUGAGUGGGCAAAUUAUUCUGUUUAUCGAGCCAACACCUCUCAAGGAGAUGGAUUACCGGUGCCAAUGGAGACCCUUCCUGUCAGCAUAAGUAAUGUCUACCCUGAAGCACUAUAGCACUUUAGUUUUAUUUUUCUUGUAACUAUUUCUGACUUUAAUGCCACAUUACUUGUACUUGAAAUCCAUCUUUUUAUAGUUAAAUAAUUUUUUUUAUUCUUUAAAACUAAUCCAGUGUUGUGAAUUGUUUGGGUAACUUCAUUUAAGGUAGCACUGUUGGGUACUGACCCUUUAGAGGGGCAACGGAGCUAGUAUAUCUGGAUUGUCCAGGAGAGGUCUGGACACUGCAAAAUACACAUGGCGGCGGGGGGAAUUCAGGAUGGGGAGUGCAUUGGGGUCACAUUGCAAAUAGUAACCAAUGUUGCUGGAAGACAGAGUGUGGCUGAUGUCAGCUAACAAGCUGCUAGGCCAGGGCUGUAGCUUUACACAGCACUCAGGGUGUGACCUGUAUGCUGGCAAGCUGAUUGUGAGCAACUCAAGUUGUAAACUAUAACAGUGAAGCAUUGUGAAGCACCCAAGGUUGUAUUGCAGGGGGACACAACUCCUUACUGGUCUGGAUUGCACCCCAGAAUGUCAUAUACAUUCCCCACUGCAGAGCUAGGGACAUCAAAGAAUGACAGAUAUUUUAACAACAACACUUAGUCUCCAUGUGUUUUAAAAUUUCUUCUAGCUAAAAAGAAAAGGUCAGGAAUAUGUUUCAGGUCCUAAACUAGCCUGAUGGUGUUUCCUUGAAUUAAUGACUAGACAUUUUAAUAUUUUGAUUUUAACUUUAGUUCAUAUUAUUUUCCUCUGUAAGUCUGGCCUCGUAGUCAGUUUCUAUAUCCACUGUAAUAUUUUUGCAUAUUCCAAAUCUCUAAAUUGCAUUUUUUUAUAAGUAAUUCUAAAAAUGGCAUGGGGAGGGGAGAUGUUUGUUUCAAUUUCCACAUCAGAUAGACUCAGUCUACAAAAACAAAGGAUAUUUCUUUGUAACUAAAUGCAAGCCCUGAAAAUAGUCAAGCUGUGUUCUUUCCUUCUCAUUCACCUCUACCAUGGAAGUUUCUGCAGGCCAAAUUAUGUCUUCUGACAACUGUUCAACCCUGGUGUUGUCAUGGAAUUUGCACAGAUGUAACUGCCAUAUUAUCUCAGAGCUGUUGAUAUGCUGCGGGAUGAGAGGGAGUAAAAAGCAAUACAAAUGUACCUUGGUUACUAAAGUCGGCACAUACGACUGUUUACACAGAAAGCCGCAUUUUGUUGUACAAGGUAGUGCUAUUUUUACAUUGUGUUUCAGAUAGAACUUCUGAGACCACACCUAGUAUAUUGUGUUCAGUUCUAGGCCACUUAGCACCAGGAACACUUCAGCAAAUUGCAGUGAGUUCAGCAAAGAGCAAUUAAUUAGGGAACUGGAAAGACUGACUAUAAGGAAAAGUUAGAGUUAUAAAUGUUGACUAAGAGGGUGGAUAUGAUAGUUAUCUAUAAUUGAUAUGAGUAAAAAGUCAGUAAGAGGAAAUGUUUAAGGGCAAGAAACAGGAAUAUACUGCAAAGUAGUUAAAGGAACUUAAGAUGAAAAUUUAGCUGAAUACAGUAUUAAGAAAAAUUUGCUGACUCUGAGAUCUGUUGGACUGUGGAAUUGUCCCCCAAAGAUUGAACAAAACAACAGAGUAUACAAUGUAGAGAACAAUCUUGUAUUGAAAGGAGGAUGGACUAAAUAACCUAAUAGGUCUUUAACAUCUCUAAUUUCUAUGCACUAAUACUUACAGAGUUUACAUCUAGCCCUAAAACAUUUUCUCUUACAAAAAUCCAUGCUUUUUGUGUGUGGAUCUUUGUGCCUUUGCUGUUUAUCUACCAGCUGCCACCAAUGAUAAAAUCUCAUUUCAACUUUUCUGCUAAGUGCAUUUGGCAACAUAAAUUAAAAAUAAUGGGAUUUAUAAAUUAAAAUAUAAAGAACUUUGUUUUUUAAUUACAGUACUUCAGCUAUUUAUCAAGGCCUCUUCUUACUACUACUUAUUAUUUAAUUUAGUAGUAUCAAUACUAUGUGAUAUUGUUUAUGGAAUUUUUAUAUAUUCUGGUUUUGAUGCCUAGUAGAUUUAAAUCUUAUUUUACGGAUGACUUGUUUCAGAUUAUAUGUGAUAAACAUUUUUGGAUGUGGGCUGUCACAGCCCUAUCUUGGUAUUUUACUAAUCUCCCUUUAUCUCCCAUUACAAUCUGCAUUCAGAUUACAAAGAACAGCAUCAGCAUUACCAGAUCUUGUGAUAUUUCACAUAUUUUAAAGUCCCAGCUUCUGGAGGCAACUAAUUAUGUGAGGAUCUCAGUUUCCUUUAAAAAAGUGGAUAUAGGAGUCCUUCAAGUGGGAGAUGCAGGUCUUGAUCCUGCAUGAUGAAAAGCACCUUCUGCAGAGUGCCGAGUGCCCUACCCUUCAAAUGAAAUCAACAGGAGUUGAGCUGCCCUCAGUACUUCACUGGUAUGGACCCUCAAUUAGCUCUAACUGUGCCCUGUUUAACUUGACCCUUUGAACCGCUAACUCUUUUCCAAUAAAUCGGUUUUAUAAACAACAAGGGAUUGAUUCUGAACUCGUACAACUGAGAGAGUCAGGAGUAACUCCACUGAAGUCACUGUAAUUAUCCUAAUGCAAAAAUGCUGAGAGUUCAGGAUCAGGGCCCCAUGUCUUUAUAUUGCUGCACUGUCCCUUUUUCUAACUUGGUUUGUUUUUUUUUAAGAGGAGACAAAAUACAUUGCAACUCUCUUUCUGCUAAAAUGGCUCUGUAGUUCUAACAUCAGGAGAAACAUGGACUUUAGAUAAGCUUGGUAAAUAAGGCUUGGGAAACACAUGGGGAAAAGACAAGUUCAAUUUUAGCAGACUCAUUCUUUCCCCAUAACCAUAUUUAUGAGAGGUUUCAGAGUAGCAGCCGUGUUAGUCUGUAUUCGCAAAAAGAAAAGGAGUACAUAUUUAUGAGGACCAUGUGAAGGCUGACUGGUUCCAAAAUGAGCCUGUUAUAGAAGCUCUCUUUAUUUUUAAAUUUCCUCUGGAUCCUGAAAGGUAUUCGCCCUACAGAACAAAGGCUGCUGUAUAGAAAAAAGAUCUAAAUUUUCAGAUGAGUGAUUCGCCAGCAAACCCAGAGAACUGGCUUUAUUUAUAGUCAUAUACAUUUCCCACUAUCUACUCUAGAUUAAAGAAAACCAGAAAGAAUACUAACUCUUAAAUCCCCCCACAGCCCUGCCCCAUGGGGACAUCUUACAAUGAGCAGGAUUCAUAAAACAGCAUCAUAGUUACAUACACCAGUUUCCACUGCAAGUCCUCUUUUUACGAAUUUGUAGCAGCCACAACUUGGAAGCAGAUUAAGUGUGGGGAAGGUAGGAAAGAAGGAUGGGAACGGUUACUCCUCCCCACAUCCAUGUAUAAUUGCCAUUAGCACUAAUGAGAGUUCUACACUCAUAGAAAGAGUAGAACCUUUAUAGUUACUCCAAAUAAAUCUGCCUCCUUAUGUUAUAAGGAAAUGAAAAAGUGUAUUCGUUUCUGUUGCUUUUUUAUCUCAACAAUUAGGAUUAACAGCUUUGUUCUUAAAAAUAACAUUCUUAUGCUAUUAGCUCAUAACAUAAAUAACUAAGUUGAAACAUCUCAAAUCAUUAACAUUUGAAAAUCAUUUACCACUCUUUAGAGAAACCCCCAAACUAAAGCAUGGAUUCCUCAGAAGACAUGGGUAAGUAUGUAUCUAGAUAGAACAUUGUGGCUUAGGUCCAUCUCUGCUGCUCAAGCACAUGAUUUUUCCCUUAUUUUUCUUUAGCUAUUGUGUUCCUAGACUGCACGUGAUCCAUAUUCAGAACUUAAUUGAUUUUAGAUACAUGGGUACUGUGAGAGAAUGUAACCCUGUGAUCACACCUACACACCACUGCGAUAAAUUUUGUACAAGGCAUGCCUUGUAAGGUAUCAUUUGAAAACUCACAAUUUGCUGGUCAGUAUAGUCCUAAUAAAAUAUGUGUGGGAGUUCCCUCUAUUAUGUUAUUAACACAUGUUCCACAACCCUACCCAAACAGAGCUUGGCAAACAGGUCUGUCCUAAACAAAGGAAUGUGUGCUCCGUUUAAUUUGCAUUUAAGUAGUAAACAGAGUCAUCAAGCAGGAAGGGAAACAAAGGAAGCUCAAUCAGGUAAGAAAAAACCAGCAGGGAACAUCCUUAAGCAUAGAUUCUGUCUCCUAUUGCUCAACUGGAUAUAUUUUUCAAGAGACGGACUGAAACUAUAAAAAGGAGGGACAAAGACCCCAAGACACCACUCUCUCUUUCCCUGCUCAUCACCUUCACUGUUCCUGAAGGGAUAAAGGAAGCAAUUGUUGAACUCUGUGGGGGAAGGUUCCCAUACCACAGUUUGGUCAGUAAGACUGUGGUAAGCAACAUUUCUUCAAACAUUGCUUUAAUCUGAUAUAGGUAGUUAAAUUAGGUGUUAGUCUUAUCUUUAUUUUUCUUGUAACCAUUUCUGACUUAUGCCUUAUUACUUGUACUCACUUAAAAUUUCUCUUUGUAGUUAAUAAACUUGUUUUAUUGGUUUAUCUAA